UACACAUGCAAGUCGAACGGGUCCUUCGGGACUAGUGGCGGACGGGUGAGUAACGCGUGGGAACGUGCCCUUUGCUUCGGAAUAGCCCCGGGAAACUGGGAGUAAUACCGGAUGUGCCCUUUGGGGGAAAGAUUUAUCGGCAAAGGAUCGGCCCGCGUUGGAUUAGGUAGUUGGUGGGGUAAUGGCCUACCAAGCCGACGAUCCAUAGCUGGUUUGAGAGGAUGAUCAGCCACACUGGGACUGAGACACGGCCCAGACUCCUACGGGAGGCAGCAGUGGGGAAUCUUAGACAAUGGGGGAAACCCUGAUCUAGCCAUGCCGCGUGAUCGAUGAAGGCCUUAGGGUUGUAAAGAUCUUUCAGCUGGGAAGAUAAUGACUGUACCAGCAGAAGAAGCCCCGGCUAACUCCGUGCCAGCAGCCGCGGUAAUACGGAGGGGGCUAGCGUUAUUCGGAAUUACUGGGCGUAAAGCGCACGUAGGCGGAACAGAAAGUCAGAGGUGAAAUCCCAGGGCUCAACCUUGGAACUGCCUUUGAAACUCCUGUUCUUGAGGUCGAGAGAGGUGAGUGGAAUUCCGAGUGUAGAGGUGAAAUUCGUAGAUAUUCGGAGGAACACCAGUGGCGAAGGCGGCUCACUGGCUCGAUACUGACGCUGAGGUGCGAAAGCGUGNGGAGCAAACAGGAUUAGAUACCCUGGUAGCCACGCCGUAACGAUGAAUGCAGUCGUCGGCAGCAUGCUGUUCGUGACCACCUACGAUUAGCAUCCGCUGGGAGUACGCGCAGGUAACUCAAGAUG
rnacentral:rRNA from 1 species